rnacentral:rRNA from 1 species
GACGAACGCUGGCGGCGUGCUUAACACAUGCAAGUCGAACGGAAAGGCCCUGCUUGCAGGGUACUCGAGUGGCGAACGGGUGAGGAACACGUGGGUGAUCUGCCCUGCACUUCGGGAUAAGCCUGGGAAACUGGGUCUAAUACCGGAUAGGUGCCAUCUUUAGUGUGAUGGUUGGAAAGUUUUUUCGGUGUAGGAUGAGCUCGCGGCCUAUCAGCUUGUUGGUGGGGUAAUGGUCUACCAAGGCGGCGACGGGUAGCCGGCCUGAGAGGGUGGACGGCCAAAAUGGGACUGAGAUACGGCCCAGACUCCUACGGGAGGCAGCAGUGGGGAAUAUUGCACAAUGGGCGCAAGCCUGAUGCAGCGACGCCGCGUGGGGGAUGACGGCCUUCGGGUUGUAAACUCCUUUCGCUAGGGACGAAGCUUUUUGUGACGGUACCUAGAUAAGAAGCACCGGCUAACUACGUG